rnacentral:rRNA from 1 species
UUUCAUUGGAGAGUUUGAUCCUGGCUCAGGACGAACGCUGGCGGCGUGCUUAACACAUGCAAGUCGAACGGAAAGGCCCUGCUUUUGUGGGGUGCUCGAGUGGCGAACGGGUGAGUAACACGUGAGUAACCUGCCCUUGACUUUGGGAUAACUUCAGGAAACUGGGGCUAAUACCGGAUAGGAGCUCCUGCUGCAUGGUGGGGGUUGGAAAGUUUCGGCGGUUGGGGAUGGACUCGCGGCUUAUCAGCUUGUUGGUGGGGUAGUGGCUUACCAAGGCUUUGACGGGUAGCCGGCCUGAGAGGGUGACCGGCCACAUUGGGACUGAGAUACGGCCCAGACUCCUACGGGAGGCAGCAGUGGGGAAUAUUGCACAAUGGGCGGAAGCCUGAUGCAGCAACGCCGCGUGCGGGAUGACGGCCUUCGGGUUGUAAACCGCUUUCGCCUGUGACGAAGCGUGAGUGACGGUAAUGGGUAAAGAAGCACCGGCUAACUACGUGCCAGCAGCCGCGGUGAUACGUAGGGUGCGAGCGUUGUCCGGAUUUAUUGGGCGUAAAGGGCUCGUAGGUGGUUGAUCGCGUCGGAAGUGUAAUCUUGGGGCUUAACCCUGAGCGUGCUUUCGAUACGGGUUGACUUGAGGAAGGUAGGGGAGAAUGGAAUUCCUGGUGGAGCGGUGGAAUGCGCAGAUAUCAGGAGGAACACCAGUGGCGAAGGCGGUUCUCUGGGCCUUUCCUGACGCUGAGGAGCGAAAGCGUGGGGAGCGAACAGGCUUAGAUACCCUGGUAGUCCACGCUGUAAACGGUGGGUACUAGGUGUGGGGUCCAUUCCACGGGUUCCGUGCCGUAGCUAACGCUUUAAGUACCCCGCCUGGGGAGUACGGCCGCAAGGCUAAAACUCAAAGGAAUUGACGGGGCCCCGCACAAGCGGCGGAGCAUGCGGAUUAAUUCGAUGCAACGCGUAGAACCUUACCUGGGUUUGACAUGGAUCGGGAGCGCUCAGAGAUGGGUGUGCCUCUUUUGGGGUCGGUUCACAGGUGGUGCAUGGCUGUCGUCAGCUCGUGUCGUGAGAUGUUGGGUUAAGUCCCGCAACGAGCGCAACCCUUGUUCACUGUUGCCAGCACGUUAUGGUGGGGACUCAGUGGAGACCGCCGGGGUCAACUCGGAGGAAGGUGGGGAUGACGUCAAGUCAUCAUGCCCCUCAUGUCCAGGGCUUCACGCAUGCUACAAUGGCUGGUACAGAGAGUGGCGAGCCUGUGAGGGUGAGCGAAUCUCGGAAAGCCGGUCUCAGUUCGGAUUGGGGUCUGCAACUCGACCUCAUGAAGUCGGAGUCGCUAGUAAUCGCAGAUCAGCAACGCUGCGGUGAAUACGUUCCCGGGGCUUGUACACACCGCCCGUCAAGUCAUGAAAGUUGGUAACACCCGAAGCCGGUGGCCUAACCGUUGUGGGGGAGCCGUCGAAGGUGGGACUGGUGAUUAGGACUAAGUCGUAACAAGGUAGCCGUACCGGAAGGUGCGGCUGGAUCACCUCCUUUCU